GUCUAUAGCCAUGCCACCCUGGAUAAGCCUGAUGUCUGAUCUCAAAAGCUAAGCAGAGUUGGCCUGGUUAGUACUUGGAUGGGAGACCACCUAGGAAGAACAGGUGCUGUAGGCA
rnacentral:rRNA from 1 species